GACGAACGCUGGCGGCGUGCUUAACACAUGCAAGUCGAACGGAAAGGCCCUGCUUUUGUGGGGUGCUCGAGUGGCGAACGGGUGAGUAACACGUGAGUAACCUGCCCUUGACUUUGGGAUAACUUCAGGAAACUGGGGCUAAUACCGGAUAGGAGCUCCUGCUGCAUGGUGGGGGUUGGAAAGUUUCGGCGGUUGGGGAUGGACUCGCGGCUUAUCAGCUUGUUGGUGGGGUAGUGGCUUACCAAGGAUUUGACGGGUAGCCGGCCUGAGAGGGUGACCGGCCACAUUGGGACUGGGAUACGGCCCAGACUCCUACGGGAGGCAGCAGUGGGGAAUAUUGCACAAUGGGCGGAAGCCUGAUGCAGCAACGCCGCGUGCGGGAUGACGGCCUUCGGGUUGUAAACCGCUUUCGCCUGUGACGAAGCGUGAGUGACGGUAAUGGGUAAAGAAGCACCGGCUAACUACGUG
rnacentral:rRNA from 1 species